GAUGAACGCUGGCGGCGUGCUUAACACAUGCAAGUCGAACGAAGCACUUUAUUUGAUUUCCUUCGGGACUGAUUAUUUUGUGACUGAGUGGCGGACGGGUGAGUAACGCGUGGGUAACCUGCCUUGUGCAGGGGGAUAACAGUUGGAAACGGCUGCUAAUACCGCAUAAGCGCACAGCAUCGCAUGAUGCAGUGUGAAAAACUCCGGUGGUAUAAGAUGGACCCGCGUUGGAUUAGCUAGUUGGUGAGGUAACGGCCCACCAAGGCGACGAUCCAUAGCCGACCUGAGAGGGUGACCGGCCACAUUGGGACUGAGACACGGCCCAAACUCCUACGGGAGGCAGCAGUGGGGAAUAUUGCACAAUGGGCGAAAGCCUGAUGCAGCGACGCCGCGUGAGCGAAGAAGUAUUUCGGUAUGUAAAGCUCUAUCAGCAGGGAAGAUAAUGACGGUACCUGACUAAGAAGCACCGGCUAAAUACGU
rnacentral:rRNA from 1 species